rnacentral:rRNA from 1 species
AACGAACGCUGGCGGCAGGCCUAACACAUGCAAGUCGAGCGAAGCCUUCGGGCUUAGCGGCGGACGGGUGAGUAACGCGUGGGAACGUGCCCUUUGGUACGGAAUAGCCCCGGGAAACUGGGAGUAAUACCGUAUGUGGUCGAGAGACGAAAGAUUUAUCGCCAAAGGAUCGGCCCGCGUCGGAUUAGGUAGUUGGGGGGGUAAUGGCCUACCAAGCCGACGAUCCAUAGCUGGUUUGAGAGGAUGAUCAGCCACACUGGGACUGAGACACGGCCCAGACUCCUACGGGAGGCAGAAGUGGGGAAUCUUAGACAAUGGGGGAAACCCUGAUCUAGCCAUGCCGCGUGAUCGAUGAAGGCCUUAGGGUUGUAAAGAUCUUUCAGUGGGGAAGAUAAUGACUGUACCCACAGAAGAAGCCCCGGCUAACUCCGUGCCAGCAGCCGCCGUAACAC